rnacentral:misc_RNA from 1 species
UCCGAUUUGUCACCGGCAGUCUCCUAUGAGUCCCCGUCUUUCACGCUGGCAACAUAGGACAAGGGUUGCGCUCGUUGCGGGACUUAUCCCAACAUCUCACGACACGGGCUGACGACAGCCAUGCAGCACCUGUGCACUGGCCCCGAAGGGCUGCCGUAUUUCUACGACAUUCCAGUGCAUGUCAAGCCUUGGUAAGGUUCUUCGCGUCGCGUCGAAUUAAACCACAUGCUCCGCCGCUUGUGCGGGUCCCCGUCAAUUCCUUUGAGUUUUAGCCUUGCGGCCGUACUCCCCAGGCGGGGUGCUUAAUGCGUUAGCUUCGGCACAGAGGACGUCGAUAGCCCCCCACACCUAGCACCCAUCGUUUACGGCUGGGACUAC